AGUGAACGCUGGCGGUAGGCCUAACACAUGCAAGUCGAACGGCAGCACAGUAAGAGCUUGCUCUUACGGGUGGCGAGUGGCGGACGGGUGAGGAAUACAUCGGAAUCUACUUUUUCGUGGGGGAUAACGUAGGGAAACUUACGCUAAUACCGCAUACGACCUACGGGUGAAAGCAGGGGAUCUUCGGACCUUGCGCGAUUGAAUGAGCCGAUGUCGGAUUAGCUAGUUGGCGGGGUAAAGGCCCACCAAGGCGACGAUCCGUAGCUGGUCUGAGAGGAUGAUCAGCCACACUGGAACUGAGACACGGUCCAGACUCCUACGGGAGGCAGCAGUGGGGAAUAUUGGACAAUGGGCGCAAGCCUGAUCCAGUCAUACCGCGUGGGUGAAGAAGGCCUUCGGGUUGUAAAGCCUUUUUGUUGGGAAAGAAAAGCAGCAGGUUAAUACCCCGCUGUUCUGACGGUACCCAAAGAAUAAGCACCGGCUAACUUCGUG
rnacentral:rRNA from 1 species